AUUAUGGCGAACUCACACCAAGCUCAGGGUUUGAAAGGGUGCUGCGAAGGCGGUUUGUUUCCAAAAACAGGAUCACAAAUUGCCUGAAAGCAUUGGCCAUCACAGUGAGCCAGAAAAUGCCAAACGGUCAACUUAUCAAAUGCACAUUCAGAUUGUUUGGUUGUCAAGCUUUUAUAUCAAGCCAAUGCUCACAGCUUUGUGAAUGUCAACUUGUGUGUUGAAACAGGUGGCAAAUUGCAAACCAUCUUUGUUCUCAUCACAAGCUACUGUUUGGAUUGACAAUCCAUUCCAACUCCAUCACCACACCUAAACAAGGCAGG